rnacentral:lncRNA from 1 species
GUUUGGGGAAGGCCGUGUGCCAGCCUGUCUGAGUGAGAGUUGGCGCCCAAGAUUCGCCCAGUCUCGAGUUUCUCCUCCCUUCCGGGGACCCUCUGGGGCCCCCAGGGGUCGCCCCUCUUGCGGUAUGUCUGAUGUUGGAGGACUAAGCACAUGGCCUGGGGAGGACUCCAGUGACCUUUCAUGUCCAGAACCAGUUUGUAACUGGGCCUGGACAGGACCGUAGCCGCCGUUCAAGGGUUUGGGUGCGUGCGCCCCGGGAAAACCCGGAGUUCCAGGGGAACCAGGGCCAGAAUGGGACUUGACCAUUGCUCUCUGCCCUCGUGGUCAUUACCCACCGCCACCUCUCAGAUACCCAAAUGACGCCCUAGAGCCCAAGGCCUACAAUGGUGCCCUACUUGGCAUUGCCGCCAGAUCUUCGGAUUUAUGAGGCCGCCCACUAAUUGGUGAGGGGGAGUUUUAGUUCUCCUUGCAGUGUCUUGCAGAGAAUUUCCUCGAGGUUCCACGCGCCUCUUGAAAGCCAGAAAAACGUGUACAGACCCUGCCUCUCCAACUCGCGCCGCGGCCCAAAGGGGCUGGGCGGAUACCUGGGAAGAGCCCCAAUGUCUGAACUCUGACGUGCACACCUCCGGCUCCCUUCGGCGGGGUGAGGAUUUGGCGCCUACGACAUAACACUGGCCGAAACACCUGGAACCGUAGACGCACCCUCUCAGCCCAGCGCCCCCGCUCGCCGGAGCGCUGCAUUUUAAGGUGGACCGCAACUUUGGGGGACCCCAGAAGGUUUUCUGAGGCGGAAUUAGCCGAAGGGGAAGGAAUUGCAAAUGUAGGAAUUCUGGCACCUGUGAGCUCAGCCCACUUCACUGUGGGUCCUCACUCUUAUCCGAGCUCCGAGCAAAAGAACACUUUGCUGCUGGAUGCCCGGAGCCACGUGGGUGCACACUCCUCUAGAAGAGGGAAUUCAGAGCCAGAUCUGGAAAAACAAUAGAAACCAGAGGGUCAUGACAUGGAAUCCAAAAAAUGUCCUAAGUCUUUCUCUGCCUAGGCUACUACAUUGGAAACACGUUACAGGGAGUCUGUCCUAGAUUCUUAUUGUCUCUUGGAACCAACUCCAAAGGAUCACAGAGGUGGUGAACAAAC